UUUUUCAUCGUUAUUUUUUGAUAGGAAACUGACUUUAGUGCCUCUGUUGGUUUUAGGGGAAAGAGACGGCAGAGAGGUGGUCGACGCUAAACCUAUUCGCGCCGGUACCCAACCCGUUCCAUCACGUGACUUCUUGUGCUGUUCGAUGAGUUGGAGCAGUACAUACUGCCAAUCGCCCAUCGCCUGCACCGCUGCCCCGACCUCCAAUCGCCGCGCCUCCUUCGCCACUAGACCAGGUGUCUAAAGGGCCUUCUUGAGUAUGUACGAGUAGAAGGUUCGAUCAAAAAGGUUUAGCUCACCCUACAAACACGUACUGGUUUCGAACAUUCACGCAACAGAACCGCCGGUCAAGACUUGCUCCGCACCAGGCGCGCAAACUCGAUGACGACAACGCGGCCGUGGUCGCUCCGGCGCAGAGCGCAGCGAUUAGACCCUUCCGCCUACGGCCAGUGGCUCCUCUAGUGCCCACGGCCCUGUCUCUUGAAACCGCGACGCAACUUUCCGGAUAACAAGGAAAAAGUAGGGUCGUACUCCUUCUCGUUGUCCUCUAAUCUUUAGUUCUGAACAAGUCUACCUUUGUAGAUUUGCGUGUGCCUCAGUCGUUUCAAUAAUGGAUUAAUUUAAACUACCGAACAACAGACGGAAGAAAAUUACGAUCGAUCCACGGUUUUGCAGUGUAUUCUCAUGACUACGUAGCACAGAAACUAGGAUGCUGUACUACCUUUCGUAUGACCUAACCAACGUCAGAACGAAAACUAGAUGGCUCAGCAGGUUCACCGCGAACACACAAGUUUGGGUCGUACAGACGCGUACGUAACCUUCAAAGAGAGAGGAAGUACACAAUCCUGUAGGAACACACUAACACAAACAUCUACGAUACCAGCGUUCUUUAGUUACUCCGGUAUACUUUUAGUUCAUGAGGGAAACAUUUCUUCAUGACAUAACUUUAUUUGCGAGAAUAUAAAGAAAUGUCUCCCUCAUCUUUUCUUAACUAGUUUAACAUGAAACGGACACACUUUGGGUACACAUUUAGUCCGUUUCCGAAGUUAAUUAGAAAACCUUAGAGGGAAAAUGGACGUCGGCGUUCAAAUGUAGGAGUUGGUUAUUAAUCUAAUCAAACCAAGAGGAAAUUUUUUUUUUCUAAUCAUGUCAAGGUAUAGACUAAAGCCAACAUUUAUUUUUUCCUAACAAAUAACUGUUUCUUUCCUAACAAAUAAGGACAUGUACGUACAAACGGACGCACGAGUACGUACUGAAAAACAUGAGCAGAGUAGUGUAGGC
rnacentral:rRNA from 1 species